rnacentral:tRNA from 1 species
CGCCGACUACGCGAUCUGGCAGCGUCACUGGCUCGAGGCCGGUGAGCGCGAGCGCCAGUUGGCCUAUUGGGUCCAGACCCUGGGCGGCGA